rnacentral:rRNA from 1 species
GAUGAACGCUGGCGGCGUGCCUAAUACAUGCAAGUCGAGCGAAGCGGGGAGGGGUGAGUAACACGUGGAUAACCUCCUAUAAGACUGGGAUAACUUCGGGAAACCGGAGCUAAAACGGAUACUUCUACGUGGUUCCACGCUGCAUUAGCUAGUUGGUAAGGUAACGGCUUACCAAGGCAACAAUGCAUAGCCGACCUGUGAGGGUGAUCGGCAACACUGGAACGGAGACACGGCCCAGACUCCUACGGGAGGCAGCAGUAGGGAAUCUUCCGCAAUGGGCGAAAGCCUGACGGAGCAACGCCGCGUGAGUGAUGAAGGUCUUCGGAUCGUAAAACUCUGUUAGUAGGGAAGCGGUACCUAAUCAGAAAGCCACGGCUAACUACGUGCCAGCAGCCGCGGUAAUUC